GAAAAGGAAAUGGACAAGAUACUAAAUACUUGGAAAAGCAACAACAGCAACAAGAACAACAAAAAAAAUGCUGACCUGGAAGCCACCAAGUCAAGCUGUUUACAAAGUAUUUGAAAGAGGGAUCUACUGACUCAUCGUGGAUACUAUGGCAGGCUGCUUUUUACAUGCCACUUUUCUGACAAAUGCCUUCAGACUUUGGAUGUUUCCCAAACAAACAUUGGAGGGGAAGAGAGAGUGUGUGAUGCUAAAAGAAAGACCUACGCCUAUUCAAUGAGCCUGUUCUCCUCCUGGAACUUCUCCACACUUCGAGUGUCUGAACUUUGCUGCCAACUGAUUUCCUUAAGAAAGCUCAUGCCUGCCUCCUGUCUUUCCUCAAAGGAGAAUUUACUAUCAAGUCAUUGAGAACACAGAUAAUGUUGCAGAAAAUCAGUUCCUCCAGCAUAUGGGAAUGUGAAAAAGACCAUAAUGAUUGGAUACAAGAGUGGGAUAUCUUCAGUACAAAUACAGAUGGCUAAGAUGUAGGUAACUACAAAUGCGCUAGACACCUUAGAUGUGCUUUGUAGUCCACAGAGAUAAAUAAGAUACAUCAGAUUUAUUUUACUAGGACAAAAUAAAUUGAUCCUC
ensembl:lncRNA